AUCCAUCUGAUGAAUCUUAAAUAGGACGAAACUCGCAUCCUGGAU
rfam:Schistosoma haematobium scaffold268_1, whole genome shotgun sequence.